UAACGCGUAGGCAACCUACCCUUUAGACGGGGACAACAUUCCGAAAGGAGUGCUAAUACCGGAUGUGAUCAUCGUGCCGCAUGGCAGGAUGAAGAAAGAUGGCCUCUACAAGUAAGCUAUCGCUAAAGGAUGGGCCUGCGUCUGAUUAGCUAGUUGGUAGUGUAACGGACUACCAAGGCGAUGAUCAGUAGCCGGUCUGAGAGGAUGAACGGCCACAUUGGGACUGAGACACGGCCCAAACUCCUACGGGAGGCAGCAGUGGGGAAUCUUCCGCAAUGGACGAAAGUCUGACGGAGCAACGCCGCGUGAGUGAUGAAGGAUUUCGGUCUGUAAAGCUCUGUUGUUUAUGACGAACGUGCAGUGUGUGAACAAUGCAUUGCAAUGACGGUAGUAAACGAGGAAGCCACGGCUAACUACGUGCCAGCAGCCGCGGUAAUACGUAGGUGGCGAGCGUUGUCCGGAAUUAUUGGGCGUAAGGAGCAUGUAGGCGGCUUAAUAAGUCGAGCGUGAAAAUGCGGGGCUCAACCCCGUAUGGCGCUGGAAACUGUUAGGCUUGAGUGCAGGAGAGGAAAGGGGAAUUCCCAGUGUAGCGGUGAAAUGCGUAGAUAUUGGGAGGAACACCAGUGGCGAAGGCGCCUUUCUGGACUGUGUCUGACGCUGAGAUGCGAAAGCCAGGGUAGCGAACGGGAUUAGAUACCCCGGUAGUCCUGGCCGUAAACGAUGGGUACUA
rnacentral:rRNA from 1 species